AUGGAAACCGAAACGGUCCUCACAAUUAUCACUGUGCUGCAAAGCUCCAGGCAGGGACAUGGCAGCCCCGGGGAUGGCUCUGUCGUGGCCCACGGUGCUCUCUGCUGCCCAGGGAUGCAGGGCUUGGGCGGCUGCUCUUUGUGUGGGACUGGACAGGGCGGGCCCUCACCUCACGGGACCGGACGGGCAGGGCCUCCUGCCUCGCCCCACCUCACCUCAGGGAGCUGGACGGGGCAGGCGCCCCCCUCGCCUCACCGGAUGGGGCAGGACACCCCCUCACCUCAGGGAGGCGGGACGGGCAGGCGCCCACCCCUCACCUCACCUCAGGACGCCGGCCCACACGGAGGAAGUCGUCCCCCCGCCGGGGCCCCUCCCCGGCCGCGCCCGGCACGGCGCCCUCAGACAGGGCCUCGCCCCGCUGGCCGCCAAGCGGCCCCGGGCCGGGAGGGGGUGCGGGAGUGGCCCCGAGCCGCCCUUACCUGCCGCCGGCCGGCGGAGACGCCGCCGCCGCCCCCGCGCAUCCUCCCGCCGGGCGCGCUCCCGCGGAGCCCGCUCGCUCCCGGCGCGGCGCGCGGCGACGCCCUGCCCGGCCCGGCCCGCGCAAGCGCGGCGGCUCCAUCCCUUCGCCGGGCAGCGGCUUCCCAAAAUGGCGGCGCCCAGGGCGACUUCCCCCGCCGCGUGGAGGGCGGCCUAUCAUUCCGCCGGACAGGGCCGCGGGGGCGGGCCUUCAGCCGACGGACAGCUCCAGCAGCCAGUAGAAGAUCGGCGCGGCGGGUCGUCAUCGCACCGAUGCGCUCCCAGGAGGGAUGCUGCGGUCCCCCUCGCGGCGUCCCCCUCGUACCGGGGUCCCAGCGCUGGGCCCGGGGACCCGCCGACACCCCCCGGCUCUGCCCUGCCCGGGACAGCGUGAGUCCCCCGUGGGCUCCCGCUCAGCCCCGUGUCCACCAGCGCCUUUCCAGGAGCGCUCCUGCGGACGGUCUCGCCGAGGGGCGCCGCGGGCCGGUGCCUGCCCGGCCCAGAGCAGCCCCUCUGCAGCCGCCGUGCUCCAUCGAGCUCAUCGGUGCUGGUCGAGAUCUAAAGGGCGGGUGUCAGGGGGAUGGGGCCAGACUCUUUUCACCUGCGCCCGGUGACAGGACAAGGGGCAACGGACACAAGCUGGAAAACGGGAAAUUCCGUCUCAAUGGGAGGAGGAGCUUCUUGACUGUCAUGGUGCCGGCGCCCGGGAAGAGGCUGCCCGGGGAGGUGGUUGAGUCUCCUUCUCUGGGGACAUUCAGAACCCGCUGGGGACGCGAUCCUGUCCAGCCUGCUCUGGGUAACCCUGCUCUAGCAGGGGCUUGGACUAGGUGA
rnacentral:lncRNA from 1 species